GUGGUUCCCGAAGUUUAAAGAGUAAAAAAGUUCACGGCCGUCGGACCCAAAAUUUGAUACAUUCAAUAUGAAAUCUUUCUAUCAUAUGCCUCAACAGAGCGAGAGAAAAAAACAUUUAUUAUGGACGAAUCGACAAAAAAAUAAUUCAACAAUAUACAUAAUGAUCAUUGUUUGGAAAAGUCAACUUUUUAAAGAAACUUUCUAAAUUAUGUUUCAGAAAAACUUAAAAAAU
rnacentral:lncRNA from 1 species